rnacentral:rRNA from 1 species
UACGUAGGGUGCGAGCGUUAAUCGGAAUUACUGGGCGUAAAGCGUGCGCAGGCGGUUCGUUGUGUCGGCGGUGAAAGCCCCGGGCUUAACCUGGGAAUGGCCGUUGAAACUGGCGAACUGGAGUGUGGCAGAGGGGGGUGGAAUUCCGCGUGUAGCAGUGAAAUGCGUAGAGAUGUGGAGGAACACCGAUGGCGAAGGCGGGUCUCUGGGCCGAAACUGACGCUGAGGAGCGAAAGCGUGGGGAGCAAACAGG